GAGUUUGAUCUUGGCUCAGAACGAACGCUGGCGGCAGGCCUAACACAUGCAAGUCGAACGCUCCAGCAAUGGAGAGUGGCAGACGGGUGAGUAACACGUGGGAACCUUCCCUAUGGUUCGGAAUAGCUCAGGGAAACUUGGGGUAAAUACCGGAUAAGCCCUUCGGGGGAAAGAUUUAUCGCCAUUGGAUGGGCCCGCGUCGGAUUAGCUAGUUGGUGAGGUAACGGCUCACCAAGGCGACGAUCCGUAGCUGGUCUGAGAGGAUGAUCAGCCACACUGGGACUGAGACACGGCCCAGACUCCUACGGGAGGCAGCAGUGGGGAAUAUUGGACAAUGGGCGCAAGCCUGAUCCAGCCAUGCCGCGUGAGUGACGAAGGUCUUCGGAUUGUAAAGCUCUUUUGGCGGGGACGAUAAUGACGGUACCCGCAGAAUAAGCCCCGGCUAAC
rnacentral:rRNA from 1 species